rnacentral:rRNA from 1 species
UUUUAUGAGAGUUUGAUCCUGGCUCAGGACGAACGCUGGCGGCGUGCCUAAUACAUGCAAGUCGAACGCUUCUUUUUCCACCGGAGCUUGCUCCACCGGAAAAAGAAGAGUGGCGAACGGGUGAGUAACACGUGGGUAACCUGCCCAUCAGAAGGGGAUAACACUUGGAAACAGGUGCUAAUACCGUAUAACAAUCGAAACCGCAUGGUUUUGAUUUGAAAGGCGCUUUCGGGUGUCGCUGAUGGAUGGACCCGCGGUGCAUUAGCUAGUUGGUGAGGUAACGGCUCACCAAGGCCACGAUGCAUAGCCGACCUGAGAGGGUGAUCGGCCACAUUGGGACUGAGACACGGCCCAAACUCCUACGGGAGGCAGCAGUAGGGAAUCUUCGGCAAUGGACGAAAGUCUGACCGAGCAACGCCGCGUGAGUGAAGAAGGUUUUCGGAUCGUAAAACUCUGUUGUUAGAGAAGAACAAGGAUGAGAGUAACUGUUCAUCCCUUGACGGUAUCUAACCAGAAAGCCACGGCUAACUACGUGCCAGCAGCCGCGGUAAUACGUAGGUGGCAAGCGUUGUCCGGAUUUAUUGGGCGUAAAGCGAGCGCAGGCGGUUUCUUAAGUCUGAUGUGAAAGCCCCCGGCUCAACCGGGGAGGGUCAUUGGAAACUGGGAGACUUGAGUGCAGAAGAGGAGAGUGGAAUUCCAUGUGUAGCGGUGAAAUGCGUAGAUAUAUGGAGGAACACCAGUGGCGAAGGCGGCUCUCUGGUCUGUAACUGACGCUGAGGCUCGAAAGCGUGGGGAGCAAACAGGAUUAGAUACCCUGGUAGUCCACGCCGUAAACGAUGAGUGCUAAGUGUUGGAGGGUUUCCGCCCUUCAGUGCUGCAGCUAACGCAUUAAGCACUCCGCCUGGGGAGUACGACCGCAAGGUUGAAACUCAAAGGAAUUGACGGGGGCCCGCACAAGCGGUGGAGCAUGUGGUUUAAUUCGAAGCAACGCGAAGAACCUUACCAGGUCUUGACAUCCUUUGACCACUCUAGAGAUAGAGCUUCCCCUUCGGGGGCAAAGUGACAGGUGGUGCAUGGUUGUCGUCAGCUCGUGUCGUGAGAUGUUGGGUUAAGUCCCGCAACGAGCGCAACCCUUAUUGUUAGUUGCCAUCAUUCAGUUGGGCACUCUAGCAAGACUGCCGGUGACAAACCGGAGGAAGGUGGGGAUGACGUCAAAUCAUCAUGCCCCUUAUGACCUGGGCUACACACGUGCUACAAUGGGAAGUACAACGAGU